rnacentral:rRNA from 1 species
CCUACGGGAGGCAGCAGUAAGGAAUAUUGGUCAAUGGACGCAAGUCUGAACCAGCCAUGCCGCGUGAAGGAUUAAGGUCCUCUGGAUUGUAAACUUCUUUUAUUUGGGACGAAAAAGGGCCUUUCUAGGUCAACUGACGGUACCAGAUGAAUAAGCACCGGCUAACUCCGUGCCAGCAGCCGCGGUAAUACGGAGGGUGCAAGCGUUAUCCGGAUUCACUGGGUUUAAAGGGUGCGUAGGCGGGUAGGUAAGUCAGUGGUGAAAUCCUAGAGCUUAACUCUAGAACUGCCAUUGAUACUAUUUAUCUUGAAUAUUGUGGAGGUAAGCGGAAUAUGUCAUGUAGCGGUGAAAUGCUUAGAUAUGACAUAGAACACCUAUUGCGAAGGCAGCUUACUACGCAUAUAUUGACGCUGAGGCACGAAAGCGUGGGGAUCAAACAGGAUUAGAUACCCUGGUAGUCCACGCCCUAAACUAUGAUUACUCGACAUUUGAGAUACACAUUAAGUGUCUGAGCGAAAGCAUUAAGUAAUCCACCUGGGAAGUACGUCCGCAAGGAUGAAACUCAAAUGAAAUUGACGGCUGAGAGAGCGAGGACGACGACGAGGGAGGAGG